rnacentral:pre_miRNA from 1 species
GUAGUCGGAUUUGUAUCAAUCCACAUGUGUUGGGUGGAUUGGAGUGAAACCCCAUUCCACUCCAACACAUUUGGAUUGAGGUGAAUCCGACA